rnacentral:rRNA from 1 species
AUUGAACGCUGGCGGCAUGCUUUACACAUGCAAGUCGAACGGCAGCGCGGGCUUCGGCCUGGCGGCGAGUGGCGAACGGGUGAGUAAUGCAUCGGAACGUGCCCAGUAGUGGGGGAUAGCCCGGCGACAGCCGGAUUAAUACCGCAUACGACCUGAGGGUGAAAGCGGGGGACCGAAAGGCCUCGCGCUAUUGGAGCGGCCGAUGUCGGAUUAGCUAGUUGGUGGGGUAAGGGCUUACCAAGGCGACGAUCCGUAGCUGGUCUGAGAGGACGACCAGCCACACUGGGACUGAGACACGGCCCAGACUCCUACGGGAGGCAGCAGUGGGGAAUUUUGGACAAUGGGGGCAACCCUGAUCCAGCCAUGCCGCGUGCGGGAAGAAGGCCUUCGGAUUGUAAACCGCUUUUGUUCGGGAAGAAAUCCUCUGGGCUAAUACCCCGGGGGGAUGACGGUACCGGAAGAAUAAGCACCGGCUAACUACGUG